rnacentral:rRNA from 1 species
CGUGGAGCGAUUUGUCUGGUUUAUUCCGAUAACGAGCGAGACUCUGGCCUACUAAAUAGUGAGCGCAUUGCCUCUGUGCGCAGCACUUCUUAGAGGGAUUUUCGGUGUUCAGCCGCACGAAAUUGAGCAAUAACAGGUCUGUGAUGCCCUUAGAUGUCCGGGGCUGCACGCGCGCUACACUGGCAAAAUCAGCGUGCUUGUCCUUCGCCGAAAGGCGUUGGUAAACCCCUGAAAAUUUGCCGUGAUUGGGAUCGGAAAUUGCAAUUAUUUUCCGUGAACGAGGAAUUCCAAGUAAGUGCGAGUCAUCAACUCGCGUUGAAUACGUCCCUGCCCUUUGUAC